UACUCCUACGGGAGGCAGCAGUAGGGAAUCUUCCGCAAUGGGCGAAAGCCUGACGGAGCAACGCCGCGUGAGUGAUGAAGGUUUUCGGAUCGUAAAGGUUGCCAAGGAAGAACGUCUUCUAGAGUAACUGCUAGGAGAGUGCGGUACUUGAGAAGAAAGCCCCGGCUAACUACGUGCCAGCAGCCGCGGUAAUACGUAGGGGGCAAGGUUGUCCGGAAUUAUUGGGCGUAAGCGCGCGCAGGCGGUUCUUUAAGUCUGGUGUUUAAACCCGAGGCUCAACUUCGGGUCUGGGGGACUUAUGGAAUUCCACGUGUAGCGGUGAAAUGGUAGAUAUGUGGAGGAACACCAGUGGCAAACUCUCUGGGCUGUAACUGACGUGAGGCGCGAAAGCGUGGGGAGCAAACAGGAUUAGAUCCCUGGUAGUCCACGCCGUAAACGAUGAAUGCUAGGUGUUAGGGGUUGGAUACCCUUGGUCCAUUAAGCAUUCCGCCUGGGGAGACGGUCGCGACUUUGCGCCCUC
rnacentral:rRNA from 1 species